CCUACGGGAGGCAGCAGUGAGGAAUAUUGGUCAAUGGUCGGGAGACUGAACCAGCCAAGCCGCGUGAGGGAUGAAGGUACAGAGUAUCGUAAACCUCUUUUGUCAGGGAACAAAGGCGGGGACGUGUCCCCGGAUGAGUGUACCUGAAGAAAAAGCAUCGGCUAACUCCGUACCAGCAGCCGCGGUAAUACGGAGGAUGCGAGCGUUAUCCGGAUUUAUUGGGUUUAAAGGGUGCGCAGGCGGUCUGUUAAGUCAGCGGUAAAAGCCCGGGGCUCAACCCCGGCCCGCCGUUGAAACUGGCAGUCUCGAGUUGGAGAGAAGUAUGCGGAAUGCGCGGUGUAGCGGUGAAAUGCAUAGAUAUCGCGCAGAACUCCGAUUGCGAAGGCAGCAUGCCGGCUCCACACUGACGCUGAGGCACGAAAGCGUGGGUAUCGAACAGGAUUAGAUACCCUAGUAGUC
rnacentral:rRNA from 1 species